UCAAAAGACGUAAAAAUGUAGUUGACAUAUAAUUUCCAAUGUUUUGAUAAAGGCAUUAUGCCGAAACGUCAAUUAAAGGAGUAUAAUCAGAGAGUUAUAAUUUUUUAAUAUCCCUUCGGAUAAUUCAACUGAGCUUAUAUGUUAAAUUAAGAAACUUUCUCGGACGAACCUUGAAUGACAACACAAACUGGAGGCUGGAAGUUCCAGUUCAUUCAAAACAGACUGAUGGUUUCAACUGUGGCAUUUACAUAGUGAUGUUCGCAGAAAACAAUAUUUUGGGGUUGCCAUGUUUCUUUGAAAAGAAGGACGUGCUCAACAAAAGAAAAGAGAUUGCAGCCACUCUUCUUUUAUAUGAAGUGAAUGUUUAAGAGUGCCGUCCUGCAUGUGGUUGGAAACCAGAAGGGGAGGAAAGUUGGUAAGAAUUUUAAAAUUUUAAAAUCAUUUCAUUCUUAGAUUGUAAAGUAGAAAAAAAAUUAAUCAUUUUGCUCUUGGAUUUGCUCUCUCACCGUGUGGAAAAUUAACAGAUUCUAUUGAUCUAUAAUAGAUUUUUGAGUUACGAAGCUAUCGCUGUAUGUAUUUAAAGAGGAAACUUGGAAAUCCGGUAUAACAAUAGAAAAUUGUACAAUAGUUUACCGUUAUACGCAUGGAAAUACAUUCAGGCCAAUAUCUAGGUCAAGUUACAGCUUAAACAAAUUAACAUGUCCGAAAAUACUCAAAUGGGUAUCAAUGACUUUAUAUGCCGAUCAAUGUUAUAUUUUAUGACGAAAAUACUGGCAAAGGAAAACUACAUAAAGUGCCUAAUUUAUUGAUAUGUUUGAAAUAUAACUGUUCAAUAAGUUUAUGAUGUCUGAAUUUAGAAAAAAAGAACGAAUAAGGUUAUUUGAAUACCAUUUAUUGUUUUAUUGUUGUCCAUUGUACCGUACAUAUAAUUAUUAUGAUAUAUUUUAUAUGCGUUGUGGGAUGUGCGAGUGCUACUGCCACAAGAAGCCGCACUGUGUAGGGGAAGCUCUACACAGUGCAGGAUCGGACACUUUCAUUUGCAAACGAUGCGAAUAUAAUGUGGAAUAAUGCCUACGUGUAGGACUUUAAAAUGUGCGGGAUGUGCUAGUCUAAGAUAGACGACAUUGGAUGUAUUACUUUCCUUUCUUUGUCUACAUGAGACACUUCUAGUCAAAACAUCUAGUCGAGUUAUUUAAUAUUGACAAAUUGUCAUAUUGUUUCUUACUAUGAAUAGUUGCAUGAGUCAAUGUGGACGAGCAAAUUGUUGUCUUUCAGAAGUUUUGAAUGUCAUACGGGAUAAAAUAAGGUUAACAACUCCCACUUUCGUUAUAUUUUAUUGGUCGAUGCUAAGUAUGAACAAUUAAAAUAGUCCAUGUUGGCAUUUCCAUAUUAGAUGAAACGCAAAUAUAUGAAGUGUUGUUUGCAGAUGUAUUAUUUCUGACUAUAUCGGAAAUAACGUAAUUUUCAAAAAUAAAUAUCAAACACUCGUUUUAAAAUUAUAUAUUUUGUGUUUCCGCUUGAACCGAUCACUCAAUCCCAAUUGCGUAUUCUGUAUUGUUAUAUGUUAUGCAUUCAUGUAUGCUUCAAAGGGUCUCCCUGUUGGGUUAAGUUUGUAAAUAUAUGUUUCUUGACCAAACUCUGUUUAACUGGCCACUGAAUAAAAACAAUCUUGUAUGUAUUACUAUGCUUUUUGAAGCCUGUAUAAAGGGCGAUAUAAUUUUUGAAUGUUUUUACUGAACUUCAUUUUUUUAUCGGGCAUAACUCAUGAUCUGACAGACUAUCGCAAACACAUUCAUAUGGGUAGAUUUCACAUUAAAAUUACAAAUGUAGCAUAGCCUCCUUCCAAGUUGGUGGAUGGGGGAGUUAUAUAGGACUUACUAUGUCUAGUUAUUAUGUCUGUGUUAAACUUAACUUUAGUAGAAUGUAACAUUUGAAUAUGAUGGUAUUUCUAAUAUUUUAAAUUGAGUCGCAUUUAUUAAAUAACAAGACUGGCUUAAAACCAGAUAUAAAAGACUGAGCGUGGUAGGAGUAUGCUGUUCUGUGGUUGCAUGUGUUACUCCACUCUAAUUUGGAGGCAUAUAUUAUAAUAAUUGGAUAAACACACCAUUGUGAUAAAUGACGAGAGAAGCAGAUUUUAUUUUAGUUUUAUUUUGAAAAUAAGUGCAUAUAUUAUAAGCACAGAUUAUUAAUGCAAGCCAUAAAUGUCUAGUCAACUUUGCUUUUAUAUAGAUGUUUUACCGGUAUGUGUUUAACAUAUAUAUGAUGUGUUCUAUAUAUUUGA